rnacentral:rRNA from 1 species
UACGCCAGUGGCAAGCGUUAUCCGGAAUUAUUGAGCGUAAAGCGCCCGCAAGCCCCCUUUUAAGUCUGCUGUUAAAGCACGGAGCUUAGCCCCAUUUCAGCUAUGUAAACUGUAAGUCUAGAGCGUGGUAGGGGCAGAGGUAAUUCCCGGUGUAGCGGUGAAAUGCGUACAUAUCGGAAAGAACACCAGAGGAGAAGGCGCUCUGCUGUCCCAUAACUGACGCUCAUGCACGAAAGCCAGUAGAGCGAACGGCAUUACAUACCCCUGUAGACCUGGCCGUAAACGAUGACCACUAGGUGUCGGGGCAAUCGACCCCCUCGGUGACGUAACCAACGCGAUAAGUGUUCCGCCUGGGGAGGACGCACGCAAGUGUGAAACUCAAAGGAAUUGACGGGGGCCCGCACAAGCGGUGGAGUAUGUGGUUUAAUUCGAUGCAACGCGAAGAACCUUCCCAGGGUUUGACAUCCUGCGACUCCCUCGGAAACGAGGGAGCGCCUUCGGGAACGCAGCGACAGGUGGUGCAUGGCUGUCGUCAGCUCGUGUCGCGAGAUGUUGGGGUAAGUGCCGCAUCGAGCGCAACCCACGUCGUUAGCAGCCAGCAUUCAGUUGGGCACUCUAGCGAGACCGCCGGUGAUAAACCGGAGGAAGGUGUGGAAGACGUCAAGUCAUCAUGCCCCUUACAUACUGGGCUACACACGUACUACAAUGGUCCGGACAAAGGGCAGCAAACUCGCGAGAGCUAGCAAAUCCCAUAAACCGUGGCUCAGUUCAGAUUGUAGGCUGCAACUCGCCUACGUGAAGGAGGAAUCGCUAGUAAUCGCAGGUCCAGCAUUCUGCGGAGAAUACGCUCCCGGGCCU